GAUGAAGAACGUAGCGAAAUGCGAUACGUUGUGUGAAUUGCAGAAUUCAGUGAAUCAUCGAAUCUUUGAACGCACAUUGCACCUCUCGGUAUUCCGGGAGGUAUGCCUGUUCGAGCGUCAUUUGUACCCUCAAGCUCUGCUUGGUGUUGGGUGUUUGUUCCGCCUCUGUGUGUGAACUCGCCUCAAAACAAUUGGCAGCCGGCGUACUUGUUUCGGAGCGCAGCACAUUUUGCGAUCCAGAUCAACGUACAGCGGCAUCCAAGAAGCCUUAUUUAACGCUCUUGACCUCGGAUCAGGUAGGGAUACCCGCUGAACUUAAGCAUAUCAAUAAGCGGAGGA
rnacentral:misc_RNA from 1 species